AUGUACAGAUUCAUGAGUGACUUCGCGUUUUCCUUCAUAUUCGCCCUCGUCCUAUGUAUCUGCAUUG
rnacentral:precursor_RNA from 1 species